rnacentral:rRNA from 1 species
GAUGAACGCUGGCGGCGUGCCUAAUACAUGCAAGUCGAGCGAACAGACGAGGAGCUUGCUCCUCUGACGUUAGCGGCGGACGGGUGAGUAACACGUGGAUAACCUACCUAUAAGACUGGGAUAACUUCGGGAAACCGGAGCUAAUACCGGAUAAUAUAUUGAACCGCAUGGUUCAAUAGUGAAAGACGGUUUUGCUGUCACUUAUAGAUGGAUCCGCGCCGCAUUAGCUAGUUGGUAAGGUAACGGCUUACCAAGGCAACGAUGCGUAGCCGACCUGAGAGGGUGAUCGGCCACACUGGAACUGAGACACGGUCCAGACUCCUACGGGAGGCAGAAGUAGGGAAUCUUCCGCAAUGGGCGAAAGCCUGACGGAGCAACGCCGCGUGAGUGAUGAAGGUCUUCGGAUCGUAAAGCUCUGUUAUUAGGGAAGAACAAAUGUGUAAGUAACUAUGCACGUCUUGACGGUACCUAAUCAGAAAGCCACGGCGAACUACGU